AUGUAUAUACUUGGGUAAUAUUCACCUUUUUAUUUCUUUACAGGGAAAUGGUGUCAUCGAUAAAGGACGAGAAAAAAAAAAGUAUGUUAAAAAGAUUACUAUUAUUAGACAUCGAUGUAAGACGAUUUUCAAUUAUACAAAAGUAUGUAUUAUUUGGUAUAUUUUGUUUAUAUGUAACAACAUGUGUUGGUGUUUUUUUUAAUUGGAUUGCUUUGUCCGAUUUUUUUUAUCGUAGUAAUAUAUAUUUAGAAUAUUGUAACGAACAAAAUAAAAUUAGUAAUAAAACAUAUAAGUGUGAAGAACAGAAUAAAAGAGUUCAAACAAUAUAUCCUAUUAUUCUUUGUUUUAAUUUUAUUAUGACUGCUAUAUCAGGUUUAUUAUUUGAUUACUGUGGUCCUAAAAUAACAGGUAUAAUUAGUCAUAGUUUUAAUAUACUUGCUUGGAUUUUAAUUGGAUUACAAAAAGGGAAAAGUAAUAUUAUUAUAUUUGGUUCUGUGUUUUUAGGGUUAUCAUCAGAAUCUGCAUUUAUAGCGACAAUUAGUAUGAUUUAUAUUUUUCCAUCCAAUCAUACAACAUAUACUAUUAUAUUAGGAUGUUGUGCUUCUUUUAGUUUUGCUAUUCCUUUUAUUUUAGAAUUAAUAGCUAAAGGACUUGAUCCAAGUUAUUUUAAAACCAUUUGUUUUAUGUAUUGUAUUAUUAUUUUAAUUCCUUUUUUUUUUAUUUUAUUAUUUUUUCUACCAAAAAAUAAUUUAGAAAAUAUAAUUAACGAUGGUACUGAACAACCAACUCGCAAUAAUAAUACACUAACAGAGUUGGAAGGUUAUUUAGUACAUAAUGGAAACAUUAUAAAAUCAAAAAAUCUGAAAACAUUAAAAUAUAGUACAGAAGAAAGUAGUACUUAUAGUGAUCGAAACAGUGUUGUUUAUAAUUAUACACCACAUGAUGAAAAUUCAAAACAAUUACAUAGUAUUAAAAAUCUAAACACAACAAUGAAUGAAUUAAAUAUACGAAAAGAUUUUAAACAACAAAUUAAUUUAAGUAAACAUACACCACUCGAAAGCAGAGAUAAUAAAAACGAAUUAAACAAAAAGAACACAUCGCAACAACUUAUUAUAGAUAAAGUAUUCAAUUCCUCUAUUAGUAAUAGUAGUGUACAUUUAAAUAAUAUUAAUAUGCUUAAUAUCAGUACUAGCUCUUUUAAUAAAAUAGUAUUACAUAAGCAAUGUGAAAAUACACUUGAAAACAAAUAUAUAUUAUCUUCAGAUGAUCAUAUAUUAAAUGACAACGAUGAGGGAAAAAAAAAAAAAAAAAAAAAUUGUUUUAAUAAUAAUAUUAAUGUUUUUUCGAAUAGCGAACAAAAUAAUAAUAAUAAUAAUAAUAUGCCACUAGCAAGGGGAAAACAAAAAAAUAUAUUUACAAAGAUAAUAGGUUUAUUCAAAAUAAUAAAAGAAUUAUUUUUUACUUUGAAAUAUAUGAGUGUAUGUUAUUUUUUUACUAUAUAUAAUUUAUCUUUAGUUAAUUAUAAUUCUUGCGCAAAUUUGUUUUUUGGAGAUUUUAAUGGUAUAGAAUAUUUAUUAAAAAUAUUUGGACCAUUAUCUUUUAUUUCUUGUGUUUUGUUUGGUUUUCUUAUUCGAAAAUUUCAUAUACUUAUUAUUAUUUUUAAUUUAUUAUUUAUCUCUAUUAUGAUGUA
ensembl:lncRNA